GAAUGCUGACAUAAGUAACGAUAAAGCGGGUGAAAAGCCCGCUCGCCGGAAGACCAAGGGUUCCUGUCCAACGUUAAUCGGGGCAGGGUGAGUCGACCCCUAAGGCGAGGCCGAAAGGCGUAGUCGAUGGGAAACGGGUUAAUAUUCCCGUACUUGGUGUUACUGCGAAGGGGGGACGGAGAAGGCUAUGUUGGCCGGGCGACGGUUGUCCCGGUUUAAGCGUGUAGGUGUGUGUUCCAGGUAAAUCCGGUUCACUUUAACACUGAGGCGUGACGACGAGGCACUACGGUGCUGAAGCAACAAAUGCCCUGCUUCCAGGAAAAGCCUCUAAGCAUCAGGUAACAUCAAAUCGUACCCCAAACCGACACAGGUGGUCAGGUAGAGAAUACCAAGGCGCUUGAGAGAACUCGGGUGAAGGAACUAGGCAAAAUGGUGCCGUAACUUCGGGAGAAGGCACGCUGACACGUAGGUGAAGUGAUUUACUCACGGAGCUGAAGUCAGUCGAAGAUACCAGCUGGCUGCAACUGUUUAUUAAAAACACAGCACUGUGCAAACACGAAAGUGGACGUAUACGGUGUGACGCCUGCCCGGUGCCGGAAGGUUAAUUGAUGGGGUCAGCGCAAGCGAAGCUCCUGAUCGAAGCCCCGGUAAACGGCGGCCGUAACUAUAACGGUCCUAAGGUAGCGAAAUUCCUUGUCGGGUAAGUUCCGACCUGCACGAAUGGCGUAAUGAUGGCCAGGCUGUCUCCACCCGAGACUCAGUGAAAUUGAACUCGCUGUGAAGAUGCAGUGUACCCGCGGCAAGACGGAAAGACCCCGUGAACCUUUACUAUAGCUUGACACUGAACAUUGAGCCUUGAUGUGUAGGAUAGGUGGGAGGCUUUGAAGUGUGGACGCCAGUCUGCAUGGAGCCGACCUUGAAAUACCACCCUUUAAUGUUUGAUGUUCUAACGUGGACCCGUGAUCCGGGUUGCGGACAGUGUCUGGUGGGUAGUUUGACUGGGGCGGUCUCCUCCUAAAGAGUAACGGAGGAGCACGAAGGUUGGCUAAUCCUGGUCGGACAUCAGGAGGUUAGUGCAAUGGCAUAAGCCAGCUUGACUGCGAGCGUGACGGCGCGAGCAGGUGCGAAAGCAGGUCAUAGUGAUCCGGUGGUUCUGAAUGGAAGGGCCAUCGCUCAACGGAUAAAAGGUACUCCGGGGAUAACAGGCUGAUACCGCCCAAGAGUUCAUAUCGACGGCGGUGUUUGGCACCUCGAUGUCGGCUCAUCACAUCCUGGGGCUGAAGUAGGUCCCAAGGGUAUGGCUGUUCGCCAUUUAAAGUGGUACGCGAGCUGGGUUUAGAACGUCGUGAGACAGUUCGGUCCCUAUCUGCCGUGGGCGCUGGAGAACUGAGGGGGGCUGCUCCUAGUACGAGAGGACCGGAGUGGACGCAUCACUGGUGUUCGGGUUGUCAUGCCAAUGGCACUGCCCGGUAGCUAAAUGCGGAAGAGAUAAGUGCUGAAAGCAUCUAAGCACGAAACUUGCCCCGA
rnacentral:rRNA from 1 species